GAUGAAGAACGUAGCGAAAUGCGAUAAGUAAUGUGAAUUGCAGAAUUCAGUGAAUCAUCGAAUCUUUGAACGCACAUUGCGCCCGCCAGUAUUCUGGCGGGCAUGCCUGUCCGAGCGUCAUUUCAACCAUCAAGCCCCAGGCUUGUGUUGGGGACCUGCGGCUGCCGCAGGCCCUGAAAACCAGUGGCGGGCUCGCUGUCACACCGGGCGUAGUAGAUUUUAUCUCGCUCAGGGCGUGCUGCGGGUCCCGGCCGUUAAAAGCCUUUUUUUACCCAAGGUUGACCUCGGAUCAGGUAGGAAGACCCGCUGAACUUAAGCAUAUCAAUAAGCGGAGGA
rnacentral:misc_RNA from 1 species